rnacentral:lncRNA from 1 species
UACAAACUGUGGAAUUGCCCUAACAGAACGUCCGAAUUUACAGGUCUUGGCCGGAGACCGGAGCCAUGUCUGUGUUAUCCCCACUGUAGACAAUCCUUGCUUCCUCUGGACAUCUGGAGCAGGCCCAAUUUGACUGAGAGCCUUCCCCCACUAAGUUACAGAUCCAGCCCCACCAUCACCACCAGAGUUGAGUCCAAAUCCAACACUCUAGGCCGGGUAGUGCUGGGACUUUGCCAGCCUCCUGCUGAGAAGUGAAUUCUCCCCUUGGCAAACUGCAGCCAGCCAGCCUCCUGGGUCGAGAGCCAAGCCAAAAGAUGUCUGAGAGAAGAAACCUGGGGUCCUGCAAAGGUAAGUGGGUCCCAGCCCACUCUCAAUCCCCCUCUCUCUGUGUGAUUGCUAUUCCACACUGGAGUCACCUGCUCUGUGCUUCUGAGGAACCUCACCUCUGGCACAUCAAUGGAAAUUGUCCUUCCCUUUUUAUUUAUUUUUAUUUAUUUUUUAUUUUUUGCCACCCUCACUGGCCACUAAGAGAUAGCCCUAGCUCCUCCUCUCCUGCCUGGUUUUGACAGGACUCACUCCAUUGAGUCCUGUCUCGUCUCUUUGCAGCCCUCCUCCUCCCCCCCCCCCCCCUUCAGCCAGCACUUAGGCCCUCCCUGAUUUAGCCCGUUACCUUGACAACCACUUGGGCCUGUCUCCCUCAUCACCACUGAAAACCUGAAGGUGGUUUUCCAGCUGCGGUACAUUUGCCCAAGUUGGGCACCCCUCCAGCUUCUAUUGGCUCGCCCUCUAUACAGCUGUACCCAAUAUAACAAACACAACCUUCCUGGCCCCUCAGCUGUAGUCUCGAAAUUGAUCUCACUGGUCCCGGGAACUCCGUCAAUACUGCCUCCUCUAGACUGAGCUCCUCACAGGCAGGAACAUGGUUGUUUCUCAAUAAACAAGUUGCAAAAAAAGGAA